CCACUCCCUCCAACCAAAUACCCUCUAAGCUCACAAGAGUGCCCAAGUGUGAUUAGCAGGUUGCAUGCAUUUUAACAGGUAAAACCUCAAUUUGUAUGGCAAAGUUGAGAUCCUUCACAUUUGUAUCAACUGAUCGCAGAAUCCUGUCAUCACAGACAAGCCUCCAACAGCUCAUGAUAUUGCUAUUAUACGAUGCAGUAUGCUGUGACUGGGAAAAAUAACAGAAGCAAUCUAUGAAACCAAACUGGAGUACAGAGCAGCAGCAUGUAGUUGACAUGC
rnacentral:lncRNA from 1 species